rnacentral:rRNA from 1 species
GAUGAACGCUAGCGGCAGGCCUAACACAUGCAAGUCGAGGGGCAGCACGUCUUCGGAUGGUGGCGACCGGCGCACGGGUGCGUAACGCGUAUGCAACCUACCUCUUACAGUGGGAUAGCCCAGAGAAAUUUGGAUUAANACCGCAUAGUAUACAGAUUCAGCAUUGGGACUGUAUUAAACAUUUAUGGGUAAGAGAUGGGCAUGCGUUCUAUUAGUUAGUUGGAGUGGUAACGGCACCCCAAGACAGCGAUAGAUAGGGGCCCUGAGAGGGGGAUCCCCCGACACUGGUACUGAGACACGGACCAGACUCCUACGGGA